UACGUAGGGUGCAAGCGUUGUUCGGAAUUACUGGGCGUAAAGGGCUCGUAGGCGGCCAACUAAGUCGGAUGUGAAAUCCCCAAGCUUAACUUGGGAACUGCAUCCGAUACUGGAUGGCUUGAAUCCGGGAGAGGGAUGCAGAAUUCCAGGUGUAGCGGUGAAAUGCGUAGAUAUCUGGAGGAAUACCGGUGGCGAAGGCGGCAUCCUGGACCGGCAUUGACGCUGAGGAGCGAAAGCUAGGGGAGCAAACAGG
rnacentral:rRNA from 1 species